rnacentral:tRNA from 1 species
GGCUCGGUAGUUUAGUUGGUAAAGCGCUCGUCUAGCAUACAAGAGUCCUGGGUUCAAAUCCUAGCCGAGCAC